rnacentral:rRNA from 1 species
UACAGAGGUCUCAAGCGUUGUUCGGAUUCAUUGGGCGUAAAGGGUGUGUAGGUGGCGCGCUAAGUCGGGUGUGAAAAUUUCGGAGCUUAACUCCGAAACUGCAUUUGAUACUGGCGUGCUUGAGGACUGGAGAGGAGACUGGAAUUCAUGGUGUAGCAGUGAAAUGCGUAGAGAUCAUGAGGAAGACCAGUGGCGAAGGCGGGUCUCUGGACAGUUCCUGACACUGAGACACGAAGGCCAGGGGAGCAAACGGG